UAGACUGUAGAUAGCUGAUCUCAUCGAGGACUACCGUUGGGUUUGCAUUCUUCAAACUGUAGGUUUAUAGUCCUCUUUAUUUUUGUUUAUUCAGGGGCCCACUUAUUAUUGUAAAUUAAAUUAAAUACUUUGGCUUACUGUAUUACAGUAUUUAUGAAUUUAUUUAACUUUUAAGCUACAAAAAUUAUUUACGUAUAACUC
rnacentral:lncRNA from 1 species